UUAUAGCUCAUUAGAUCAAAACUGAAGAGGACAGAAAUAAGGAAAAAUCAUCAAAGAAAAAUCUGCAAUUUUCCAAUUCAUUUCUUUUCCUUUUAUCCUAUUUUAUUCAGUGAACUGUCUUUACCUUAAUUCAAUGAAAAUCAUAUUUUAAACAGGAGUGUGUAUAAACAUGGAAUAUAUUUAAUAAAGAAUUAUCAGCAAUUAC
rnacentral:misc_RNA from 1 species